UACGGAGGAUCCAAGCGUUAUCCGGAUUUAUUGGGUUUAAAGGGCGCGUAGGCGGCCUGUUAAGUCAGGGGUGAAAGACGGUAGCUUAACUAUCGCAGUGCCCUUGAUACUGAUGGGCUUGAAUAUACUUGAGGUAGGCGGAAUGUGACAAGUAGCGGUGAAAUGCAUAGAUAUGUCACAGAACACCAAUUGCGAAGGCAGCUUACUAAGGUAUGAUUGACGCUGAGGCACGAAAGCGUGGGGAUCAAACAGG
rnacentral:rRNA from 1 species